rnacentral:rRNA from 1 species
GAUGAACGCUGACAGAAUGCUUAACACAUGCAAGUCUUUGGCGAAGCUGUGCUUGCACAGCCUAGCCAAGGCGGACGGGUGAGUAACGCGUAAGGAACUUGCCCUGCAGUCAGGGAUAACAGACGGAAACGACUGAUAAGACCUGGUAAAGUCAGGCGGACUCAUGUCCAGCCUGAUGAAAAGAGAUGCUGCAGGAGAGCCUUGCGUCCUAUUAGCUUGUUGGUGGGGUAACGGCCCACCAAGGCGAUGAUAGGUAGCCGGCCUGAGAGGGUGGACGGCCACAAGGGGACUGAGAUACGGCCCUUACUCCUACGGGAGGCGGCAGUGGGGAAUAUUGGACAAUGGGGGCAACCCUGAUCCAGCAAUUCUGUGUGCACGAUGAAGGUUUUCGGAGUGUAAAGUGCUUUCAGCAGGGAAGAAAAAAAUGACGGUACCUGCAGAAGAAGCGACGGCUAAAUACGUG